rnacentral:rRNA from 1 species
GACGAACGCUGGCGGCGUGCUUAACACAUGCAAGUCGAGCGGUAAGGGCCCUUUCGGGGGUACACGAGCGGCGAACGGGUGAGUAACACGUGGGUGACCUGCCCUCAGCUCUGGGAUAAGCCUGGGAAACCGGGUCUAAUACCGGAUAUGACUCCAUGACGCAUGUUGUGGGGUGGAAAGCCUUGUGCGGCUGAGGAUGGGCCCGCGGCCUAUCAGCUUGUUGGUGGGGUGAUGGCCUACCAAGGCGACGACGGGUAGCCGGCCUGAGAGGGCGACCGGCCACACUGGGACUGAGACACGGCCCAGACUCCUACGGGAGGCAGCAGUGGGGAAUCUUGCGCAAUGGGCGAAAGCCUGACGCAGCGACGCCGCGUGAGGGAUGACGGCCUGG